rnacentral:antisense_RNA from 1 species
GGGCCAUGCCAUUGCUUUAGAGAAGCUUCUCCUUGUCAUCUUCUCCCUAGCCUGGAUAACACAUGGAACACUUGAAACAGAAUAUCUAGCUGAGCCCCAAACCUGAAUACAACAUGUUUAAGACCACAGGACAUCUGCAUAGGCUGUAAAUUUCGUUAAAUGAUGGAUGCAAAGAUGGAAGACAGAUGGAGAGAGGAAAAGACAGAAUCAGAUACUGGAUGAGUUAGUACUGCUGCCUGUGCUUCAGAGCUGUCUUGUUACCACAAGGCCGGCAAGCAUCAAUGUCCCCACAUCCCCCUCUGCCUCCCCCUGAAAUGUACCGAUUUAUAUGAAAAUUAAGAUUACAAAUUAAAGCCUGGCUAUCCUGGAGUUUUCCAGUUCAUCAGCCAUCCAAUAAAAAUGAUGUCAAGCCUGUAUGCAUAAUUCCCAGAAGAUUACUUUCGUCCUUACAGCUAAGCCCUGUCCCUGAUAUGAAAGAUCUCUAUCCACUUUUAUUGAAAUAAAGAACUAACAUCAUAAUCCCAA